CCCCUACAAGCCAUAAAAAUCCUAGGUCCAAAAGCCUCCAAAAAAUCCUCCAAAUCUUUCUCUCUUUUCAGCCCUACAGACUGCAGCCUAAAAAUUGUAGCAAUCCUCUUCCACCUUCCAACAUCUUCCAAACCUACUUUUUCCAACCUAUUCUCCACCAAAUCUCUUCCUUGUGCUACUGAAGGUCUUGUUCAAGUCCAAAGAAAGGAAUCUCCAGAGUCUAGAAUAUA
rnacentral:lncRNA from 1 species